GACGAACGCUGGCGGCGUGCUUAACACAUGCAAGUCGAACGGAAAGGCCCUGCUUUUGUGGGGUGCUCGAGUGGCGAACGGGUGAGUAACACGUGAGUAACCUGCCCUUGACUUUGGGAUAACUUCAGGAAACUGGGGCUAAUACCGGAUAGGAGCUCCUGCUGCAUGGUGGGGGUUGGAAAGUUUCGGCGGUUGGGGAUGGACUCGCGGCUUAUCAGCUUGUUGGUGGGGUAGUGGCUUACCAAGGCUUUGACGGGUAGCCGGCCUGAGAGGGUGACCGGCCACAUUAGGACUGAGUGACCGCCCAGUAUCCUACGGGAGGCAGCAGUGGGGAAUAUUGCACUAUGGGCGGAAGCCUGAUGCAGCAACGCCGCGUGCGGGAUGACGGCCUUCGGGUUGGAAACCGCUUUCGCCUGUGACGAAGCGUGAGUGACGGUAAUGGGUAAAGAAGCUCCGGCUAACUACGUG
rnacentral:rRNA from 1 species